rnacentral:lncRNA from 1 species
GAUAACCAUUUAAAAAAAUUGAGAAUGGAAAGAAGUUAUAUGUCAAAGAGACAACAACCUAACCUAAGAGCAGAUAACAGCCGACGACCACCAAAGAGUCUUCAUCGAAGCGAGAAAACCCCGCACCCGGAGGUGGGCCUCAGCUGGUCAUCGAAUAUAAAUGUGUACUAGUUCAGUGAAAAUGGACGUCAGACUUAAAUACCAAC